rnacentral:rRNA from 1 species
CGAGGGUGCGAGCGUUAAUCGGGAAUUACUGGGCGUAAAGGGUGCGUAGGUGGAUAAUUAAGUUGGGAUGUGAAAGGCCUGGGGCUCAACCUGGGGAGAGUCAUUCAAGACUGGUCAUCUAGAGUUUGAUAGAGGGUAGGGGAAUUUCCGGAGUAGCGGUGAAAUGCGUAGAUAUCGGAAGGAACACCAGUGGCGAAGGCGCCUACCUGGAUUGGAACUGACACUGAGGCACGAAAGCGUGGGUAGCGAACAGGAUUAGAUACCCUGGUAGUCCACGCUGUAAACGAUGAAAACUAGCUGUACGGUGACAUUAGAGCGCUGUGUGGCGCAGCAAACGCGCUAAGUUUUCCGCCUGGGGAGUACGGCCGCAAGGCUA